rnacentral:rRNA from 1 species
AUAUCAGUAAGCGGAGGAAAAGAAAAUAACGAUGAUUACCUUAGUAGCGGCGAGUGAAUAGGUAAAAGCCCAAGAUGUUAAUCUGCUAUAAUGUAGUAGAAUUGUAAUCUAUGGAGUAGCUCGGAAGGUUGAGACUCGUCAUAAGUGCCUUGGAAAAGGACGCCAGAGAAGGUGAAAGCCCUGUCUUCGGACGAGUCGAGGCGAUACGAGAUAUUUCUAAGAGUCGGGUAGUUUGGGAAUGCUGCCCUAAUUGGGAGGUAAACUUCUCCUAAGGCUAAAUAUUUAUUGGAGACCGAUAGCAUACAAGUACUGCGAAGGAAAGAUGAAAAGAACUUUGAAAAGAGGGUUAAAAGACUUGAAAUCGUUGAAAAGGAAGCGAUAAAAGAGAAAUGAUUCCCUGUCAAGAUGCAAAUUGAGCUAAGUUACGCGGUGUAAGAUACUUAAUAGGGUCUUUGCCGUGGAAUGAAAAUCAAGAGGCUGUUGGCAGGUGAAAGGCAAGAUGAGGUGGCGUUGCAAGAAUAAGGUGAAGAGUGUAUUCUCUAACUAAAAGUUGUAACGCUGCCUGAGGGAUCAGAUGAUGAUCUUGCCAAAAUGGCUUUUAUCGA